rnacentral:piRNA from 1 species
UGUUCUGAAUUUUGCUGGAGGAGCGCAGC